GGUUAAGCGACUAAGCGUACACGGUGGAUGCCCUGGCAGUCAGAGGCGAUGAAGGACGUGCUAAUCUGCGAUAAGCGUCGGUAAGGUGAUAUGAACCGUUAUAACCGGCGAUUUCCGAAUGGGGAAACCCAGUGUGAUUCGUCACACUAUCAUUAACUGAAUCCAUAGGUUAAUGAGGCGAACCGGGGGAACUGAAACAUCUAAGUACCCCGAGGAAAAGAAAUCAACCGAGAUUCCCCCAGUAGCGGCGAGCGAACGGGGAGCAGCCCAGAGCCUGAAUCAGUGUGUGUGUUAGUGGAAGCGUCUGGAAAGGCGCGCGAUACAGGGUGACAGCCCCGUACACAAAAAUGCACAUGCUGUGAGCUCGAUGAGUAGGGCGGGACACGUGGUAUCCUGUCUGAAUAUGGGGGGACCAUCCUCCAAGGCUAAAUACUCCUGACUGACCGAUAGUGAACCAGUACCGUGAGGGAAAGGCGAAAAGAACCCCGGCGAGGGGAGUGAAAAAGAACCUGAAACCGUGUACGUACAAGCAGUGGGAGCACGCUUAGGCGUGUGACUGCGUACCUUUUGUAUAAUGGGUCAGCGACUUAUAUUCUGUAGCAAGGUUAACCGAAUAGGGGAGCCGAAGGGAAACCGAGUCUUAACUGGGCGUUAAGUUGCAGGGUAUAGACCCGAAACCCGGUGAUCUAGCCAUGGGCAGGUUGAAGGUUGGGUAACACUAACUGGAGGACCGAACCGACUAAUGUUGAAAAAUUAGCGGAUGACUUGUGGCUGGGGGUGAAAGGCCAAUCAAACCGGGAGAUAGCUGGUUCUCCCCGAAAGCUAUUUAGGUAGCGCCUCGUGAAUUCAUCUCCGGGGGUAGAGCACUGUUUCGGCAAGGGGGUCAUCCCGACUUACCAACCCGAUGCAAACUGCGAAUACCGGAGAAUGUUAUCACGGGAGACACACGGCGGGUGCUAACGUCCGUCGUGAAGAGGGAAACAACCCAGACCGCCAGCUAAGGUCCCAAAGUCAUGGUUAAGUGGGAAACGAUGUGGGAAGGCCCAGACAGCCAGGAUGUUGGCUUAGAAGCAGCCAUCAUUUAAAGAAAGCGUAAUAGCUCACUGGUCGAGUCGGCCUGCGCGGAAGAUGUAACGGGGCUAAACCAUGCACCGAAGCUGCGGCAGCGACGCUUAUGCGUUGUUGGGUAGGGGAGCGUUCUGUAAGCCUGUGAAGGUGUGCUGUGAGGCAUGCUGGAGGUAUCAGAAGUGCGAAUGCUGACAUAAGUAACGAUAAAGCGGGUGAAAAGCCCGCUCGCCGGAAGACCAAGGGUUCCUGUCCAACGUUAAUCGGGGCAGGGUGAGUCGACCCCUAAGGCGAGGCCGAAAGGCGUAGUCGAUGGGAAACAGGUUAAUAUUCCUGUACUUGGUGUUACUGCGAAGGGGGGACGGAGAAGGCUAUGUUGGCCGGGCGACGGUUGUCCCGGUUUAAGCGUGUAGGCUGGUUUUCCAGGCAAAUCCGGAAAAUCAAGGCUGAGGCGUGAUGACGAGGCACUACGGUGCUGAAGCAACAAAUGCCCUGCUUCCAGGAAAAGCCUCUAAGCAUCAGGUAACAUCAAAUCGUACCCCAAACCGACACAGGUGGUCAGGUAGAGAAUACCAAGGCGCUUGAGAGAACUCGGGUGAAGGAACUAGGCAAAAUGGUGCCGUAACUUCGGGAGAAGGCACGCUGAUAUGUAGGUGAAGUCCCUCGCGGAUGGAGCUGAAAUCAGUCGAAGAUACCAGCUGGCUGCAACUGUUUAUUAAAAACACAGCACUGUGCAAACACGAAAGUGGACGUAUACGGUGUGACGCCUGCCCGGUGCCGGAAGGUUAAUUGAUGGGGUUAGCGCAAGCGAAGCUCUUGAUCGAAGCCCCGGUAAACGGCGGCCGUAACUAUAACGGUCCUAAGGUAGCGAAAUUCCUUGUCGGGUAAGUUCCGACCUGCACGAAUGGCGUAAUGAUGGCCAGGCUGUCUCCACCCGAGACUCAGUGAAAUUGAACUCGCUGUGAAGAUGCAGUGUACCCGCGGCAAGACGGAAAGACCCCGUGAACCUUUACUAUAGCUUGACACUGAACAUUGAGCCUUGAUGUGUAGGAUAGGUGGGAGGCUUUGAAGUGUGGACGCCAGUCUGCAUGGAGCCGACCUUGAAAUACCACCCUUUAAUGUUUGAUGUUCUAACGUUGACCCGUAAUCCGGGUUGCGGACAGUGUCUGGUGGGUAGUUUGACUGGGGCGGUCUCCUCCUAAAGAGUAACGGAGGAGCACGAAGGUUGGCUAAUCCUGGUCGGACAUCAGGAGGUUAGUGCAAUGGCAUAAGCCAGCUUGACUGCGAGCGUGACGGCGCGAGCAGGUGCGAAAGCAGGUCAUAGUGAUCCGGUGGUUCUGAAUGGAAGGGCCAUCGCUCAACGGAUAAAAGGUACUCCGGGGAUAACAGGCUGAUACCGCCCAAGAGUUCAUAUCGACGGCGGUGUUUGGCACCUCGAUGUCGGCUCAUCACAUCCUGGGGCUGAAGUAGGUCCCAAGGGUAUGGCUGUUCGCCAUUUAAAGUGGUACGCGAGCUGGGUUUAGAACGUCGUGAGACAGUUCGGUCCCUAUCUGCCGUGGGCGCUGGAGAACUGAGGGGGGCUGCUCCUAGUACGAGAGGACCGGAGUGGACGCAUCACUGGUGUUCGGGUUGUCAUGCCAAUGGCACUGCCCGGUAGCUAAAUGCGGAAGAGAUAAGUGCUGAAAGCAUCUAAGCACGAAACUUGCCCCGAGAUGAGUUCUCCCUGACUCCUUGAGAGUCCUGAAGGAACGUUGAAGACGACGACGUUGAUAGGCCGGGUGUGUAAGCGCAGCGAUGCGUUGAGCUAACCGGUACUAAUGAACCGUGAGGCUUAACCUU
rnacentral:rRNA from 1 species